rnacentral:rRNA from 1 species
UACAGAGGGGGCAAGCGUUAUUCGGAAUUAUUGGGCGUAAAGGGCGCGUAGGCGGCUUUGCAAGUGACGGGUGAAAUCCCACGGCUUAACCGUGGAACUGCCUGUCAGACUGCAUGGCUUGAGACCAGGAGAGGUGAGUGGAAUUCCCAGUGUAGCGGUGAAAUGCGUAGAUAUUGGGAGGAACACCAGUGGCGAAGGCGGCUCACUGGACUGGUACUGACGCUGAGGUGCGAAAGCGUGGGGAGCAAACAGG